rnacentral:lncRNA from 1 species
GAACAGUCAGUGUGGCAAAUUAAUGUGCGCUGGUAACAGCACAAUCACACCAAAGAAUCUUGGCUAUUGUUGGCGUAGUAGUAAUCUUAGUUUAAUUAUGAAGAAUGUAUCAAUUAUUUGCCGGUAAGUUCAAAACAUUUAGGCGGAGUCAUGGCGAGUUCUCACGGAAGGUUUAUACACGUAUGAAAAGUUCAUUAAUGAUUGCCAAUCAUAGGAAAUGUUGAAGAGUCUUGUAGAUGGAAGUUAUCGAGUGGAAAUUUAUAUACAUUUAUUUACAUCUAUUAGAUCUAACCAAGAACACCUGCCAAAAAUGCAACUACAGGUCCCUGGCAGGAAUCGAACUCGAUAUUUACCCAUUAUAGGAAAACCUUAAUCAUGCACUGAAUAAUAAUACAAUUUGCCUUCGUUCAGUCAUGAUGUUAGUAUUAUAAUGUUCACCAAACAGAUAUUCUAAACCUUAAUCUUCCCAAAGUAUUUCAGCACAGCAUUCGAUUAACUGUCUACUAUCAAGAAAUUAAAUGGUGCUUGUGAUUUUCGUUUUGGUGUCUGUGUCCACUUAUGAGAGGUUUCCGCUUAAGGGAGGUCUUAAAUAUUUAACAAUUAUUCGCUGAAGGCGAGGUGAUUAUCGGGGAAUAUUUGCUGAGACGAAGUCGAGGUGAAUAUUCCCCCGAUAAUCACCGAGCCUGAGGCGAAUAGUUGUUUUAGUAUUUUUACACAAGUCUUUCGUGUUGUUUGGUACUGAAUUUACUUUAAUUUCGCUUAUUUUUUAUCAGUAAACUUCCACAAAACGGCUAGCCGCCAUUUUGAAAAUUUCAGUUUUGUUAUAUUCACCUGUAGGUGAAUAUAAUAGCUUAAUGCGUCAAAUUGACCAAUCAGGUUGUAGGAUUUGUUAUGUUCACUUGUGCAAAAAUACUAAAGUAAUAUAGUUGAUAUUCUUGUGGGACGCAAGAAUGAUGUUCUUUUACAAGAGAUGGCCUCAAAGUGAGCUUCGACUAUAGUUGGGAAAUGUCUGAUUGUGCAGUUUAUUUUGAUUGUUUAAGGUCUGCAAGGAUCUUUCAGGCAGGGGGUUUACCAGAAUUGGGGACCGUUCUAGAUGGGACAAAAUGUGGAGACAAAAUGGUUAGUUUGUUGAAUGGUGAGUUUAAAUAGAUUUCAAAAACUCAUUAAUAAUUCAGGAAGAAAACACAAAGAAAAAUCAUAAGCGUAUCGCAGUUUUAUAUGUGAUAAAAAUCAUGUUAAUUUACAUAAACUUUAGCUUUGAUUUACUCCGUUUAGACAAAGUUUAUUUUAAAAAUUACUUCGCCAAUGAACUCGUAUAAGAUGAGUCGUUUUUUUAUAUGUGAUAAAACACUCCUACGCGUGCUUUAAAUAUAGUACAUUAUAAUUAACAGGAAAUAGACACUUUAUAAAAGCAAGCAAAUUAUACUAAUUAAAAUCUCUUAUUUCUAUCCAUUUGCCUACUGCCUAUAAUGAAAAUGAUGAAAAUACUUUUCUCGUUCCAGAAGCUGUCACUUGGCUACUUUCGGCUGCACAGUACUGCUUAGGGCAAUAUAUAUUUUAAAGAAAAUUGACUCUAUAUGAUAACUUGUUGGCUUUUCUGUGUAGGUUUGUCAAAACAAUGAGUGUGUGUUACUUUCCGUUGCUUAUGCUGGACAACCAACAUGUGCGAAUAACUGCAGCGGAAAUGGGGU